rnacentral:misc_RNA from 1 species
AAGUCGUAACAAGGUUUCCGUAGGUGAACCUGCGGAAGGAUCAUUAACACGUAUCCAACGUUAAAAACACCCCUGUGAACCCGUUAAUCUUGCUCCUCACGCCCUGCACGCCUAGCAAUCCCUGGUAAAUCAUUGUCUGAACAGAUUUUGAGUCAGGGACUUCUGACGUGACGCGAAGAAUGGUAUUGAUACUCCAUCUGCGUGGGAUGACAUGCGACGUAGCAAAUCACUUGGCUCCCCAAGCAACCAUACGCUGUAACGUUUUGCUGUAGGCCAACACGGCCGGCAAUCCAAGUGGUUGUACUUCGGUACCCUCACAUCGGCACACCACCGAUGAUAUGUCAAUUUCGCGAAUGGACUAAAAGCCUCGCACCAAAAACCGAACAACUGUUAACAAUGGAUAUCUUGGUUCUC